CCUGCAGGGUACUCGAGUGGCGAACGGGUGAGUAACACGUGGGUGAUCUGCCCUGCACUUCGGGAUAAGCUUGGGAAACUGGGUCUAAUACCGGAUAGGAACCAUCUUUAGUGUGGUGGUUGGAAAGUUUUUUCGGUGUAGGAUGAGCUCGCGGCCUAUCGGCUUGUUGGUGGGGUAAUGGCCUACCAAGGCGGCGACGGGUAGCCGGCCUGAGAGGGUGUACGGCCACAUUGGGACUGAGAUACGGCCCAG
rnacentral:rRNA from 1 species